CUGGGUGGCGAAGCCGCCCUAAAAUCAGACGCCGCAUUUCUAGACAGAAUGCGGCGUUUUUACUGGGGCGGCUUCGCCACCCAG
rnacentral:misc_RNA from 1 species